CCAAACCGGCGAAUCCAGGCCGCCGAAGCAGAGUGCGUGAACUUAACCACUUGGCCACGGGGCCGGCCCCCAUGUGUGUGUCUUAAUAAGUCAAGACGGUGUGUCUAUCUGCUCCUUCCUGCUUUUUUAGGUCAUCAAUGCAGUUGACCAGAAUGGAAUCUAUGGGCUAUUGAAAGAUGGAGUUUCCUGAAGAAUAAGCUGUGGAACGGGGUUGAAGAAUUCACGUAACCCGGGAGAAGGUGUACAGUCCAGUGGCAUUAGGUACAUUCACACUGGGACCAUGUGAAGACGCAGGGAAAAGACAACCAUUUACAAGCCAAGGAGAGAGAUCUCAGAAGAAACCAACCCUGCCGACACUUUGAAGUUGGAUUUCUAUCUUCCAGAAUUCAGUCCAAGAGCUAGCAAUCCAAGGUUGACGUGAUACCUCCACGGUCUCAAGGAGUCAUUCUCCCUUGUUGCCCUGUCAUCUUCAACAAGGGCUUCCUUUUGGGAUCUAACAUAUGAUCCAGGUCAUACCACUGUGUUGGCAUUGUGGCCAGCAGGAAAAGAAUGGUAAGGGGUUGGUGUGUUUCUUUUUAAGUGUGUGAUCCUGAAAUUGCACGGGUCACUUCUAUACAUAUGCCUUUGCCCAGGACUUAGUUACAUGGCCACAUAUAGCUGUAAGGGAGACCAGGAAAUAGAAUCUUCAGUGGGGGAAACAUAUACCCAGAUAAAUCUUUUAUUAUAGAGGAAAAAAAUUGGGGAAAUUACUGGUAACCUCUGCUACAACUCACAGGAAUAUAGUGCAACCCAGAUUUGUCCUCUGAGCUCCAGACAUGUGUAUCCAGGUGCUCAAUUAGCCUCUACUUGGAUGUCGCAAAAGCCCAAACUCAAUACAUCCAAAAUUAGCACAUGAUCUUUGCUCCAAAUCCUGGUCCCUUCCAGUGCACCAUAUCUCACCGGUAAAUUUCACCACCCUUCAUCCUGUUGUACAAGCCAAAAUUCCAAGAGUCAUCGUUGAUAUUGUCAUCUCCCAUAUCUUCCCACGUCCAGCUCAACGCCAGGUCCUGUCACUUUUACCUCCUAUAUUCUCUCUCAAAUUCAUCAACUUCUGUACAUCUCUGGAUUAGUCACCAACUGCUGGGUAAUAACUUCCCCCAAACUUAGUGUUUUAAAGGAAUGAGAUGCUGACACAUGCUACAGCAUGGAUGAACCUUCAGAACAUUAUGCAGAGUGAAAGAAGCCAGACACAAAAGGACAAAUACUGUAUGAGUCCACUCAUAUGAAGCACCCAGUGGUCAAAUUCACAGGGACAGAAAGUAGAACGGUAAUGACCAGGGGCUGGGGGAGGGGAAAUAGGAGUUAGUGUUUACUGGAUACAGAGUUUCAGUUUGGGAUAAUGAGAGAGUUCUGGCCAUGUGUAGUGGUGUCGGUUGCGCAAGAAUGAGAAUGACCUUAGUGACAGUAAAUUAUACACUCAAAAAUGGUUAAAAUGGUAAAUUUUAUGUUACGUGUAUUUUACCACAAUGGUUAAAAAGAAAAAAAAAAAAAAGAAUAGCCUGGCCAAUCUUGAAGAGGAAUAACAAAGCUCAAAAACUUAUGCUACUGGGUAUAAAGACUGAUUUAUGAAGCCAAGUAAUUAAGUGAGUGUGAUAUUGGCACAAAGCUAGACAAAUAGAAUAAUGGAGCAGACUGGAGAGUUCAGAAUGGAACAGGAGAAGAAAAUGGAAGAUAGUUAAUACCCUGAGCACCCGCCCUUUUUAAAGAAUGAUUGAGUGUCAUAAAUAGAAUUAUCCAAAUAUCCCUGGAGUGGACUGUUGGCAGAUCCACACUUGCUGGACUGGGUUGGGCUGAAGGAAUCCUCACAGGCACCCAGUUCCAUAUGUCCUCCAUGCCUCACAGUGACUGAGAGCAUCAAUGACCAUGACCAUCCUCCAAAGGGCAUCUCUAGAAUUUUCAGUUUCUAAGCAACCCCUCCCCUCUGAGGAGCUUCUCCUGUGCUUAGACCGUCUGUCACCAAAGCCUGUGAAUGGAUUUCCGCUUCCCUUAGAGCCGGGCUGUCCAAUAGAAAAAUAGUGGGAGCCGUAAAUAGAACUUAAACAUUUCUAGUAGCCACAUUUUUUUUUUAAUUUCAUCUUUUUUUUUUUAAAGAUUUU